rnacentral:rRNA from 1 species
UCCGUAGGUGAACCUGCGGAAGGAUCAUUAUUGAAUUCAAAUCAUCUGUGGCUUCGGUCCGGAUGUGCCAACAGGUAACACUGUUGGUAAUUCUAUCCAUAACACCUGUGAACUGUUGGAUGCUUGCAUCCACUUUUAUACUAAACAUUAUUGUAACAAAUGUAGUCUUAUUAUAACAUAAUAAAACUUUUAACAACGGAUCUCUUGGCUCUCGCAUCGAUGAAGAACGCAGCGAAAUGCGAUAAGUAAUGUGAAUUGCAGAAUUCAGUGAAUCAUCGAAUCUUUGAACGCACCUUGCGCUCCUUGGUAUUCCGAGGAGCAUGCCUGUUUGAGUGUCAUGAAACUCUCAAACCCAAGUUUUGGAUUUCGAUCCAUGCUUGAGUUUGGAUUUGGAUGUUUGCCGGUGAUAAGCCGACUCAUCUUAAAAGUAUUAGCUAGAUCUGUCUCUAUAACUGGUUUGACUUGGCAUAAUAAGUAUUUUGCUGAGGACAUCUUCGGAUGGCCAGGACCUAGACUAUUGUCUGCUAACUAAACCAUCACUUUAAGUGCAUCUUUGGAUGUUACUCAUUGUGUAACUUUGACAUCUGGCCUCAAAUCAGGUAGGACUACCCGCUGAACUUAAGCAUAUCAAUAAGCGGAGGA